UACAGAUAUUACUCUGUCACCCCAUUAUAGGAACAAUGUGGAGUCUUUGGAAAGGGUGCAGAAGAAGUUUACCAGAAUGCUGCCUGGAUCAGAAGGGAUUGAGAACAAUCUGUAAAGAACUUUCAACUGAGUUAGAUGCAAGUUUGCAAUUAUACAUGACAGACAAGUGGCUGACAGCAACCAUCUGAUGCUCCAACUUGUGACCAAAUGAAUUUCAUCGGUGAGUUGGGAAUGGCUACGUUUUACAUCGAGCAACACUUGACUGAAUGUGGUACCUAGGUUACCUGGUAAAAAUAUGG